GCACAAACAAUCUGCAUAUCAAUGGGGAAAAAAAUUUAUUUAGGCAAACCUAAGCACAACAAAAGCAAUUAUGUUAUGACAUACCUUGUGAAAGAGCGGAUGAAAUGUAAGAACUAACAUCAGAUAGCAUAAUGCAGUGAAACAAAAAAGUAUGUAGAUGCACACCUUAAACUAAAAAAGUCUAUUAAAAUCAUUGCAUAUCGUCCUCUAUAACAACUAUACAAAUGAGAGAAGAAGAUGAUUAAUGUAAUUUAACAUCCAAAAUAGGGACAGUUAAACAAGCAUCACUGAGAUAUUAUUUUGGUUUCCCUCCCUUCUGUAAGAUAGCAUUUUCUUUGUUUAAAAAAUGGACAGAAUGUGCCAUCAUAUUAAUCCAUUUGUAUGAAUAAGAAUUUGAGCCUCAACUUACAAAAAAUACCUUGUUCAAUCUAUCUCCGUAAACUAUUGAAUAUCCAAAAGAAAUGCAUGAAGGCAAACAGAAAAACAGAAAA
rnacentral:misc_RNA from 1 species